rfam:Ipomoea nil DNA, scaffold: scaffold0715, cultivar: Tokyo-kokei standard.
AUCAAUGUGGCGCAGCGGAAGCGUGGUGGGCUCAUAACCCACAGGUCCCACGAUCAAAACUUGGCUUUGAUA